GGCGCAGGCGGCUCAGUAAGUCCUGUGUGAAAGCCCGCGGCUCAACCGCGGAAAGCCAUAGGAUACUGCUAAGCUAGAGACGGGUAGAGGCGAGUGGAAUUCCCGGUGUAGCGGUGGAAUGCGUAGAUAUCGGGAAGAACACCAGUGGCGAAGGCGACUCGCUGGGCCCGUUCUGACGCUCAGGCCCGAAAGCGUGGGGAGCAAACA
rnacentral:rRNA from 1 species